UGAUUUAAUAGUUAGAAUAUUAAAAAAAUUAUGAAGAUUAUAUUGAAAGAUCUUUACAAAGAGGUAUACAUCCUGAUGAAUUAAACAUAGGCACAACAAAAGCACAAUCAAUAAAAAUGAAAAAAAAUUUAAUACGAUGGGGUGAAAAAGUUACUGAUGGUAUAACAAAAGUAACUUUAACCGAUAAACCAUUAGGUACUGAUUUUGAUCAAGGUAUAGAUAUAAUAAGAGAUAAAGUACAUGAUUUAUUUAAAUUAUGGAGACAUCAUUCAAAAAAAUUAUUAAAAGACUUUGCAAAGUCUUUUGAUCCUAUGUUUAUUAUAAUUAGAAAGAAAAAAAUAAAAGAUAAUAUACCUUCUAUGUAUUUAUUAAAUUCAAAACUCAUUUUAAAAAGAUCAGAUGAAUAUAUAAAUAGAAAAAAAAGUUUAAGUAAUACUAUAAGUAACAUAGAUGAAUAUUAUUAUUCUGCUGAUGAAGAUGAUCCCAAAGCUAAUAGUAUGUUUACUGUUUUGGGAAAUUAUUCAAACGAUUCGACAUAUAAUGACAUAGAUAAUUAUGUAACGUGUGCAGAAUGUGAAGGCUAUCAUAAGGAGAAUGAUAUAAAAAAAAAGACAAAAAAUAAUAAAAAACAUAAUGUUAAGUUGGAAGGAGUACACGAACAAACUAUUCAUGUCGGGGAAAAUAACACAAAGGUAUCGUAUGACGAUUUACAAAUAUUUAGUGAUGCAAUAGAAACAAAAAAGGAAGCUGAACAUAAUAGUUUUAUUUGUUUUAAUGAAAAAUCUAACUUAAUAAAAAAUAUUAACAAAAAUAGUUAUGUGGAGAAUGUAUUUAAUUUUUAUAAAAAUAAAACAAUUUAUCCCGACAUUAUUGAUGACGAUAGUAAUGCAAUAUAUCAUGAGGUAUUUAACGAUGUAAAUAACGAGGUAUAUAAUAAGGAACAUACAGAAGGACAUGAUGAAGAGUAUAACAUAAAAAAUAAUAUUAACACAAAUAAAAGUACUAUGAAUGAUAAAAACGCAAGUGGUAUUAGUACAAGUGGUAUCAGUACAAGUGGUAUCAGUACAAGUGGUAUCAGUACAAGAGGUAUCAACACAACUGAUAACAAUAAUUUAAAUAAAAAAGAUAAAAAGAAUACUACACAUUGUAUGAAUGAACAUAUAUCUGUCGAUCACGGUUUUAGUGAUAAUAAAUAUAAUCAUAUCAUAGUAACUAAAAGAGAUUCUAACUAUUAUGGUACAUGCUCUACUAAUGAUAGUACAAAUUAUACUCCAACUGAAGAAAACUCCACUUCAAAUGAAAAAAACUGUACUAUAAAUGAAGAAAAUGGCAUCUCUAAUGAAGAAAAUGGCAUCUCUAAUGAAGAAAAUGGCAUCUCUAAUGAAGAAAAUCGCAUCCCAAGUGAAGAAAAUCUCAUCCCAAGUGAAGAAAAUCACAACCCAAAUGAAAAACAAUUAAAAAUGUUUGAAACAAAUACUACUGUUACUACAGCCACAAAUAAAAGUGACGAGAAUUGUGAUAAUGCAACUAUAGAGGAUAAAAAUAUGAAACAGGAAGGAUCAAACAAUGAUGAACUAAUACUAGAAAAUAAUAUCAACUCACAGGAACAAAAAAAAAUAGAAAUAUAAAUACACCUCCAAGAACAGUAAUUUAUGCUGAUGGUGUAUUCGAUAUGUUACAUUUAGGACAUAUGAAACAGUUAGAACAAGCAAAAAAAUGUUUGAAAAUACAUGUUUAAUAGUAGGUGUUACUAGCGAUAAUGAAACUAAAUUAUUUAAAGGUCAAAUCGUACAAACACUAGAAGAAAGAACUGAAACAUUAAGACAUAUUAGAUGGGUUGAUGAAAUCAUUUCACCUUGUCCAUGGGUAAUAACACCAGAAUUUGUUGAAAAAUAUAACAUAGAUUAUGUAGCUCAUGAUGAUAUACCAUAUGCUAGUAAUCAAAAAAAUUCUAAUAAAAAAAAAAAAAAAUAAUAAAAAUAAUUCA
rnacentral:lncRNA from 1 species